rnacentral:rRNA from 1 species
UAGGGAAUCUUCCGCAAUGGACGCAAGUCUGACGGAGCAACGCCGCGUGAGUGAAGAAGGUUUUCGGAUCGUAAAACUCUGUUGUAAGAGAAGAACAAAUUGUAGAGUAACUGCUACAGUCUUGACGGUAUCUUACCAGAAAGCCACGGCUAACUACGUGCCAGCAGCCGCGGUAAUACGUAGGUGGCAAGCGUUGUCCGGAUUUAUUGGGCGUAAAGGGGGCGCAGGCUGCUUCUUAAGUCUGAUGUGAAAGCCCACGGCUUAACCGUGGAAGUGCAUUGGAAACUGGGAAGCUUGAGUACUGAAGAGGAAAGUGGAACUCCAUGUGUAGCGGUGGAAUGCGUAGAUAUAUGGAAGAACACCAGUGGCGAAAGCGACUUUCUGGUCUGUCACUGACGCUGAGGCCCGAAAGCGUGGGUAGCAAACAGG